GAUAUGUAAAAGCUCUGCAAUCCAAGUGUAUGCCUUAGACAUUGAAAGCAAAACAGCAGUGGGAGACUUUGAAAUAUUUAUGUGCUAAGUGACAAACUAUUUUUAUAUGUCAAGUCUACUUACGUAAACAUUGUUGUGUUCUAGUUGAAUUGUAUUUUUAUUCACAAAGGAGUGCUUUAGGAUUAGACUUAUCUAUUUCUGAAUGUUUGACAACCAAUGAAGCCAAUUAAUUUAAGACUAUUUUCAGCUUCAGUACUAGAUUAA
rnacentral:misc_RNA from 1 species